UACGUAGGGAGCAAGCGUUGUCCGGAUUUACUGGGUGUAAAGGGUGCGUAGGCGGCUUUGCAAGUCAGAAGUGAAAUCCAUGGGCUUAACCCAUGAACUGCUUUUGAAACUGCAGAGCUUGAGUGGAGUAGAGGUAGGCGGAAUUCCCGGUGUAGCGGUGAAAUGCGUAGGGAUCGGGAGGAACACCAGUGGCGAAGGCGGCCUACUGGGCUCUAACUGACGCUGAGGCACGAAAGCGUGGGUAGCAAACAGG
rnacentral:rRNA from 1 species